UCAAGGAGACUGAAGUGAAGAAGUUUGUGUUGUUUUUAAUCGGUAAAAGAAGGAAAUAUUGUUUUGCGAUCGCCAGAAAGAAGAAGUUGUUGUUUUCUGUAUUUGCCAGUUACCCAGAAGAGGAAGAAGUUAUCUGCCAUGGCUUAUCCUACACAUCUGCAGUCCAAACCUGAUGCAGAACAGUUUCUGCCAUGAUGGGGGGUUUGAAUGUCCCUGCUGCAGUUUCAUCACUGAAGAGAAGUUCACCUAGAGAACCACAUAAGUCAUGCAGUGGAGCAUGGAGGUUACGUUAUCUUAAAAUUAAUGGCCCAUGGAUGAUCAUUAAAACCAAGGUACAAGAAUGCAAUCAUCAUUUUUUUUUUCAGUCCUUGUUCUGUAGUUUUAUGUAUAAAACAAAAAAACGAAUUAUAUAUUUAAAUAUUUUAUAAAAUAUUCCACCCCAGGGAGAGGGACUGGAUUGUGUUCUGUUCAUGCUGAUGUAUGCACUCUAUAUAGCCCUGUACUGGACAUGUGACUUAAGCCAGGAUGACAUCCCUCAGCUCAGAAGGUGAUGGUGUCGUUUGCUCUAGAAAAACAUGUCACAUCCAAGGUUGUCAGAGUCCACCAUCACCAAACAGCCAGCUAGUACGGAAACUGUGAUGGGUCAAGAUGACAGUGAUGAGAAGAUCAAAGAGGAACUGAAGAGGAAGUUCGAAGAGGAACAUAAGGGACAUUGGUGUAGCAUGGUGCUGGGUUCAGAGCCACCGUGAGUUGUUCCAUGGAGAGGUGACAGAGCCUGAAUUUCUCCAGAUAAACGAAGAAAAACAGUCUAAUAUAAUCAAAGAUUACCUGAAAGGAGAGACUGAGAAAGCAAGGGAUGCCUGUUUGUUUGUCUUUGACAAUAGCGAGGAUAUGGAAACAUUCUUAUUAAAAUGUGUUGAUGAACAGGGGCUGAAAUUCAAUAACAUGUUUCUGGGAGUUAUUUAAUUUAUAAUAAUUUAUUUACUCUAAAUUGUUGAAUAUUAUUGUUUUGUGAAAUAAAUAUAACAAUACCCAGUGAAACAAGGGAUGUCUUUUUAUUGAUCUUUAUGCAUCCGUAGGACUUGGACACAUUUUUAUAUAUAUUUGUGUUGAUGGAAAAAGGCCCAAAAGUCAAUGCCAUGUUACUUACAUAAUCUAUCAAAGCAACCAAUGACUUAAGCCUAUGUAUGUGUAGCUUAGU